rnacentral:rRNA from 1 species
AUUGAACGCUGGCGGUAUGCCUUACACAUGCAAGUCGAACGGUAGAGGGGCAACCCUUGAGAGUGGCGAACGGGUGAGUAAUACAUCGGAACGUGCCCAGUCGUGGGGGAUAACGUAGUGAAAGCUACGCUAAUACCGCAUAUGACCUGAGGGUGAAAGCGGGGGAUCGCAAGACCUCGCGCGAUUGGAGCGGCCGAUGGCAGAUUAGGUAGUUGGUGGGGUAAAGGCCUACCAAGCCUGCGAUCUGUAGCUGGUCUGAGAGGACGACCAGCCACACUGGGACUGAGACACGGCCCAGACUCCUACGGGAGGCAGCAGUGGGGAAUUUUGGACAAUGGGCGAAAGCCUGAUCCAGCCAUACCGCGUGCGGGAAGAAGGCCUUCGGGUUGUAAACCGCUUUUGUCAGGGAAGAAAUCUUCUGGGUUAAUACCUCGGGAGGAUGACGGUACCUGAAGAAUAAGCACCGGCUAACUACGUGCCAGCAGCCGCCGCCGUAA